GACAGAGGGGGCAAGCGUUGCUCGGAAUCACUGGGCGUAAAGGGCGCGUAGGCGGGAUGGCAAGUCGGUCGUGAAAUCCUUCGGCUCAACCGAAGAACGUCGGCCGAUACUGCCGUUCUUGAGGGAUGCAGAGGAGAUUGGAAUUCCCGGUGUAGCGGUGAAAUGUGUAGAGAUCGGGAGGAACACCGGUGGCGAAGGCGGGUCUCGUGGGCGAUCGUCCUGACGCUGAGGCGCGAAAGGCGUGGGGAGCAAACGGG
rnacentral:rRNA from 1 species